rnacentral:rRNA from 1 species
GAUCAUGGCUCAGAGUGAACGCUGGCGGCAGGCCUAACACAUGCAAGUCGAACGGCAGCGCAGCAGUAGCAAUACUGUGGGCGGCGAGUGGCGGACGGGUGAGGAAUACAUCGGAAUCUACCCUGUCGUGGGGGAUAACGUAGGGAAACUUACGCUAAUACCGCAUACGACCCACGGGUGAAAGCGGUGGACCGCAAGGCGUCGCGCGACUGGA